CACGUAGGGGGCAAGCGUUGUCCGGAUUCAUUGGGCGUAAAAGAGCUCGUAGGCGGUUCGAUAAGUCGGGUGUGAAACCUCCAGGCUCAACCUGGAGACGCCACCCCGAUACUGUCGUGACUAGAGUCCAGUAGGGGGAGCGUGGAAUUCCUGGUGUAGCGGUGAAAUGCGCAGAUAUCAGGAGGAACACCAGCGGCGAAGGCGGCGCUCUGGGCUGGAACUGACGCUGAGGAGCGAAAAGCGUGGGGGAGCGAACAGG
rnacentral:rRNA from 1 species